GCCGUCCCUACCUCGACGGAGGGAAAAGCCGGACACCAUCGCCGGCUUGGGGCGGCACCCUUUCCCGAUGG
rnacentral:sRNA from 1 species